UAAAACUAAAUGCAUGCUCUUCAACCGAUCGCUACCUGCACCUAACCGCCUGUCCAACAUCACUACUCUGGACGGCUCUGACUUAGAAUACGUGGACAACUACAAAUACUUAGGUGUCUGGUUAGACUGUAAACUCUCCUUCCAGACCCAUAUCAAACAUCUCCUAUCCAAAGUUAAAUCUAGAAUUGGCUUCCUAUUUCGCAACAAAGCAUCCUUCACUCAUGCUGCCAAACAUACCCUUGUAAAACUGACCAUCCUACCAAUCCUCGACUUUGGCGAUGUCAUUUACAAAAUAGCCUCCAAUACCCUACUCAACAAAUUGGAUGCAGUCUAUCACAGUGAAAUCCGUUUUGUCACCAAAGCCCCAUAUACUACCCACCAUUGCGACCUGUACGCUCUCGUUGGCUGGCCCUCGCUUCAUACUCGUCGCCAAACCCACUGGCUCCAUGUCAUCUACAAGACCCUGCUAGGUAAAGUCCCCCCUUAUCUCAGCUCGCUGGUCACCAUAGCAUCUCCCACCUGUAGCACACGCUCCAGCAGGUAUACCUCUCUAGUCACCCCCAAAACCAAUUCUUUCUUUGACCGCCUCUCCUUCCAGUUCUCUGCUGCCAAUGACUGGAACGAACUACAAAAAUCUCUGAAACUGGAAACACUUAUCUCCCUCACUAGCUUUAAGCACCAACUGUCAGAGCAGCUCACAGAUUACUGUACCUGUACAUAGCCCACCUAUAAUUUAGCCCAAACAACUACCUCUUUCCCAACUGUAUUUAAUUUGAAUUUAUUUAUUUAUUUUGCUCCUUUGCACCCCAUUAUUUUUAUUUCUACUUUGCACAUUCUUCCAUUGCAAAACUACCAUUCCAGUGUUUUACUUGCUAUAUUGUAUUUACUUUGCCACCAUGGCCUUUUUUGCCUUUACCUCCCUUCUCACCUCAUUUGCUCACAUUGUAUAUAGACUUGUUUACACUGUAUUAUUGACUGUAUGUUUGUUUUACUCCAUGUGUAACUGUGUCGUUGUAUCUGUCGAACUGCUUUGCUUUAUCUUGGCCAGGUCGCAAUUGUAAAUGAGAACUUGUUCUCAACUUGCCUACCUGGUUAAAUAAAGGUAAAAUAAAAAAUUAAAUAAAUAAAAAAUCCACCA
ensembl:lncRNA